rfam:Enterococcus sp. 9D6_DIV0238 scaffold00001, whole genome shotgun sequence.
GGUUAAUAAUUAACUGUACCGAAGACAGUAGGUGACGCAAGUCUUAAUUUCCUACCGAGGACAAUGAUUGAUGAAAUAGAUCAAUGGUCCCUCUAUGUCAACGGUGGCAUGGAGUUUUGUUGUUUUACA